rnacentral:rRNA from 1 species
GAUGAACGCUGGCGGCGUGCCUAAUACAUGCAAGUCGAGCGAACAGAUAAGGAGCUUGCUCCUUUGACGUUAGCGGCGGACGGGUGAGUAACACGUGGAUAACCUACCUAUAAGACUGGGAUAACUUCGGGAAACCGGAGCUAAUACCGGAUAACAUAUUGAACCGCAUGGUUCAAUAGUGAAAGGCGGCUUUGCUGUCACUUAUAGAUGGAUCCGCGCCGUAUUAGCUAGUUGGUAAGGUAAUGGCUUACCAAGGCAACGAUACGUAGCCGACCUGAGAGGGUGAUCGGCCACACUGGAACUGAGACAUGGUCCAGACUCCUACGGGAGGCAGCAGUAGGGAAUCUUCCGCAAUGGGCGAAAGCCUGACGGAGCAACGCCGCGUGAGUGAUGAAGGUCUUCGGAUCGUAAAACUCUGUUAUCAGGGAAGAACAAAUGUGUAAGUAACUGUGCACAUCUUGACGGUACCUGAUCAGAAAGCCACGGCUAACUACGUG